rnacentral:pre_miRNA from 1 species
AUACUUGUCAUCAAAAUGGAUAAAAAGAGAUGUAUCUAAAACUAAAAUACGUCUAGAUACAUUUCCUUUUAUCCAUUUUGAUGACAAGUAUUUCCGGACGGAGGGAGUAUUUG